ACGGAAGGCAGCAGGUGGGGAAUAUUGCACAAUGGGCGCAAGCCUGAUGCAGCCAUGCCGCGUGUAUGAAGAAGGCCUUCGGGUUGUAAAGUACUUUCAGUCGUGAGGAAGGUGUUAAGGUUAAUAACCUUAGCAAUUGACGUUAGCGACAGAAGAAGCACCGGCUAACUCCGUGCCAGCAGCCGCGGUAAUACGGAGGGUGCGAGCGUUAAUCGGAAUUACUGGGCGUAAAGGGCACGCAGGCGGUUAAUUAAGUUGGAUGUGAAAUCCCCGGGCUUAACCUGGGAAUGGCAUUCAAGACUGGUUAGCUAGAGUCUUGUAGAGGGGGUAGAAUUCCAUGUGUAGCGGUGAAAUGCGUAGAGAUGUGGAGGAAUACCGGUGGCGAAGGCGGCCCCUGGACAAAGACUGACGCUCAUGUGCGAAAGCGUGGGGAGCAAACAGGGAUUAGAUACC
rnacentral:rRNA from 1 species